GACGAACGCUGGCGGCGUGCUUAACACAUGCAAGUCGAACGGUGAAGGUGGAGUGCUUGCACUUUGCUGGAUCAGUGGCGAACGGGUGAGUAACACGUGAGCAAUCUGCCCCGGACUCUGGGAUAAGCACUGGAAACGGUGUCUAAUACCGGAUAUGACGCAGGGAGGCAUCUUCUCUGCGUGGAAAGAAUUUCGGUCUGGGAUGAGCUCGCGGCCUAUCAGCUUGUUGGUGAGGUAAUGGCUCACCAAGGCGACGACGGGUAGCCGGCCUGAGAGGGUGACCGGCCACACUGGGACUGAGACACGGCCCAGACUCCUACGGGAGGCAGCAGUGGGGAAUAUUGCACAAUGGGCGCAAGCCUGAUGCAGCAACGCCGCGUGAGGGACGACGGCCUUCGGGUUGUAAACCUCUUUUAGCAGGGAAGAAGCGAAAGUGACGGUACCUGCAGAAAAAGCACCGGCUAACUACGUGCCAGCCGCCGCUGUAAAAC
rnacentral:rRNA from 1 species